AAGAGCCGUAUGCGGGAAAACUGCACGUACGGUUCUGUGAGGGGCGGCAGUAAUAGAAAUAUUAUGGAAGCCGUCUACUCGAC
rnacentral:ncRNA from 1 species